AAUAUCUGUGCCUCCGUAUCAACUGUUCGGAAAAAACCCGGAGCGCUGUAUUAUUCCCCUUAUCUUGCGAGUUACAGUACCCACAGCGCAAGCGCCGCCGCCACUCGCCAGGGACGAGACGAAGCCGCCGGCGCCGCUGCAACUGAUGGCGACGCCGCGCUGCGCGUUCCCUGACCGGAGCCUGAACGUUCCCAUCGUCUUUGCUCUGGCACCCUAAGCCACGACGCUUCUCCUUCCUCCUUCCGCCGCCGCCGCGUUGUUUUUCCCCUCGACCCUACCAACUUCGCGACGACGCUUCUCCUUCCUCCCUCUGCUGCGGCGUUCUGUUCGACGCCGUCGCCCAAUCUUGUGCCACCGCAGUUGAGCUCGUUCAUUGUACCCUGCCGAAUUUGGUCUGCCGUUUUCACCGCCGCAGUUCUCAGCGUCUGCAUUGUCGGCGGCGGGCUUCAGCGGCGGUUGCUACCCGAGGUAUCGCUGCUACAAUCUACUGCCCAGAAGAAGAUGAUCUUUUAGGUUGUUGUUUCAAUUCUUAUAUUAGACUGAGUUAGGGCAAUUACUUUGCUGACAUGGAUUAUCACUAAAAUUUCUCCAAGUUAGCUCCUCUAUAAUAUGAGUUUUAUCCACUCAAGCAGCGCAAACCAGAAUGGAAGAAUCUGAAACCAAUGAAGCACCUCUGAACCGUACGUCUCCUCGUAUUAAACGGGAGAAAUCAUCACCCCAGGAUAAAGCUAUUUAUGAUAUUAAUGAUGGCCACACUGUGGAGGUUCAGCGCAACAAAAGGAAGAAGGUUUCGAAAGAUGCAAAACCGAAGCAAGUAAUGUUCCUCAACAGUGACUGUAUGUACACAAAUUUUCCAUUACUGUCUUAGAAUUGAAGGUUCAAUAAUUACUCAAUUGGUCCUAUCUGUUCAAUUCAGAAUGUUGGAUUCAAAUGUUCAGUUGUAAUGCUGAAAUCCUUGAUUGAUCGGUUGUCUCCGGAUCAAUGCCAGUGGAUUCGUGACUGUGGCUUUGGUGCCUUAUUGGACAUACGUAACUGCAAGCUGCCCAAGCGUUUGACACUGUGGUUGAUCAACAAAUUUAAUUAUCAUACUGGAGCACUUGGGUUUCAUGGAAUGUCAAUUCCAAUAAAACCAUUAAUACAGAAGCUUCUUGCACUUCCCGCCGGCGAUAUCCCAGUUACAGCGCCUCUAUUCACUGUUGCGGGGAAGACAAAAGUGUUGAACCCUAAUGCUGAGCAAAGAGAAUUCAGAGAUGAUAAAGGUGGUCGUGGGAAAGCACUGCACUUGGUCAUCGACGACCUCAUUGCGUGUCAUGUUCAACAAAAGUUCCAGAGAACAUUUCUUCUUGUUGUCUUUUGUAUCUAUCUUGCUCCGACGAGCAGUCAUCUUAUCAACCGGAACUAUUUGGAAUGUUUAAACAACAUGGAAGAAGUUGCUUGGAAUGAACUGGUGUGAGUAUGUUGCUGAUUACCUUAUACAAGGUAUCCGGGAGUACAAUGAGUCUAACGCAACAAAUAUAUUUGUUCACGGAUGUGUACACAUUCUGCUUCUCAUAUACCUUAAUCUUCUAAAAUCACCUUCACUGGGAGUUCAACCUGGGUUCCCGCGUACGCAUUCUGCACUACGGAGCUAUUGGAACAACUGGAUUCCAUUCACACCAGGCAGCAGGUGAAAAUCCUUUAUUUUUAAUUCAUAUUGCUGUAGUCCGGAUCAUUUGAGAAGGUCACCCACAUGCCAAUCAGCAACCUGGUCUUAAUUCAUACUGCAAAAUAUGAAGACUAUUUACUUAUAAAAUCCUCGAUCAUGUCUUUCCUCUGGUUUAGUUUUGCCGUUCUGGUGUACUUCCUAAUCGUAAAGGAAUGUGGCCUUUAUUCCUUUUUGCAUUUCAGUUAGUGAUGUUUGCAUGAUUCAGAGGUGUUUUUUACCAGUAGAGUCUCCGUUCUAUGUGUUGUUGCUUCUAGUAUGAGCUUUAGCUGCUUCCAGGUAUUAUUUACAGUGGUACGAGCAAACAGUUUACAAGUAAUAGAGCAUGUAAUAAAUUUUCAGUUUGUACUCACCUUGCUAUAGUAGUAAAUCUGAGGCCACCAGGUUUUGGUUUUGUUAUUUUUUGGGAUUGUCUGCAAUCUUACACCAGGUGCAAUACAAAUCUCUGGAAGAACUUGGAGCUUUAUAUAGUGCAGAUCUUUCCCAGGUGCGGUCGUCCUUACGACAUGAACCUGUGAUCGAACAAGGUAGCCAACAGCUGCAGUUAUCUCAAGCAGACCCUGGCAUUGAAGUGACAAGAUGUAGUAAUCACGUUAGGCAAGACGACAAAGAGCAGCAGCUGAGGAUGAUCGAGCAGCAAUACCAGGUUGACCGUGAUCAAUGUAUAAACGAGAUGAAGCUAAGAAUUCAGAAGCUCGAUGCUGCUCGAUCAACAGCAAUUAAAGCUUUGCUCGAUACUACUAUUGGUUCCAAUACACACAUGCAGGCAAGUGCUCCUGCAGAUGUUGGUGCGCAGUCCUCUAGUGCCAACGACGAACAAGUUGUUGUCAAGGACAUACCUCAUGUAAACAGCAGCCCAGCACCAAUCGAUACACCAACAGCUCCGCAUGGGAACCACGAUAAGGUACGCCUGGAUACAGUGGCACAUUGGCUGAAAGAAGAAAAGCAACUUGCGGAAACAUCUUCAGCAAAUGAUGCAGUCCCAGAUUGGUUGAUAGAAGAGAAGCAGCUACAUCCUGUCAAACUGGAACCGGAUGCUACGCUUGUCUCUCUGUUCCAUUGUUUGUAGCCAAAGCUUUCUGCUGAUUGAUGUGUACGAUUGCAUGAAGGUAGUGUCUGAAAGUUGUUGGACAACUCGUAGCAGUGUUAGGUACCUGCAUUAACACAAGUAUUAUGCCUUAAACAGCAAAUACUUUAGCACGGUUUAGCAGCUUUUAGCCGUGUAAAUGCUUGUAAUGGGGUGCUGCGUGAUGACGUUCCUGCCUGCGUGCAUGUUAGGAAUUAAUCUUGUCUAGUCCGAAGAGUACUGGUUAGAGUCGGAGUAGGCCAAUGUCAGAGUCCUAGUCGGACUUGGUUCUGGUGGUUGGUUUGCUAGCCACGUCCAUGUAUAAAUAUACAUGUACACGGUGCUGGUUGUAUCAAGAGAUUUAUAACAGAAAAAAGACAAGACAUGACAGGUGUCUUUGGCCAUAA